UGUUUGAUGUUCUAACGUGGACCCGUGAUCCGGGUUGCGGACAGUGUCUGGUGGGUAGUUUGACUGGGGCGGUCUCCUCCUAAAGAGUAACGGAGGAGCACGAAGGUUGGCUAAUCCUGGUCGGACAUCAGGAGGUUAGUGCAAUGGCAUAAGCCAGCUUGACUGCGAGCGUGACGGCGCGAGCAGGUGCGAAAGCAGGUCAUAGUGAUCCGGUGGUUCUGAAUGGAAGGGCCAUCGCUCAACGGAUAAAAGGUACUCCGGGGAUAACAGGCUGAUACCGCCCAAGAGUUCAUAUCGACGGCGGUGUUUGGCACCUCGAUGUCGGCUCAUCACAUCCUGGGGCUGAAGUAGGUCCCAAGGGUAUGGCUGUUCGCCAUUUAAAGUGGUACGCGAGCUGGGUUUAGAACGUCGUGAGACAGUUCGGUCCCUAUCUGCCGUGGGCGCUGGAGAACUGAGGGGGGCUGCUCCUAGUACGAGAGGACCGGAGUGGACGCAUCACUGGUGUUCGGGUUGUCAUGCCAAUGGCACUGCCCGGUAGCUAAAUGCGGAAGAGAUAAGUGCUGAAAGCAUCUAAGCACGAAACUUGCCCCGAGAUGAGUUCUCCCUGACCCUUUAAGGGUCCUGAAGGAACGUUGAAGACGACGACGUUGAUAGGCCGGGUGUGUAAGCGCAGCGAUGCGUUGAGCUAACCGGUACUAAUGAACCGUGAGGCUUAACCUUACAACGCCGAA
rnacentral:rRNA from 1 species